UACGGAGGGUCCAAGCGUUAUCCGGAUUUAUUGGGUUUAAAGGGUACGUAGGCGGAACUUUAAGUCAGUAGUGAAAUCCCAUCGCUUAACGAUGGAACUGCUAUUGAAACUGAUGUUCUUGAAUAUAGUUGAAGUAGGCGGAAUACGACAUGUAGCGGUGAAAUGCAUAGAUAUGUCGUGGAACACCAAUCGCGAAGGCAGCUUACUAAGCUAUUAUUGACGCUAAGGUACGAAAGCGUGGGGAGCAAAC
rnacentral:rRNA from 1 species